rnacentral:rRNA from 1 species
AUACGUAGGUGGCGAGCGUUAUCCGGAAUUAUUGGGCGUAAAGGGUGCGUAGGCGGUUGAUUAAGUUUUAGGUGAAAGCGUGGGGCUCAACUCCAUACAGCCUAAGAAACUGGUCAACUAGAGUGCAGAAGAGGGUAGUGGAAUUCCAUGUGUAGCGGUAAAAUGCGUAGAUAUAUGGAGGAACACCAGUGGCGAAGGCGGCUACCUGGUCUGUAACUGACGCUCAAGCACGAAAGCGGUGGGGAGC